GACGAACGCUGGCGGCGUGCUUAACACAUGCAAGUCGAACGAAGUGGCGAACGGGUGAGUAAUACGGGGGGAACCUGCCCUCCUUUUUGGGAUAAGCCUUGGAAACGGGGCCUAAUACCGAAUAAAGGGGGAGGGGCUCGCGGCCUAUCAGCUUGUUGGUGGGGUGAUGGCCUACCAAGGCGGUGACGGGUAGCCGGCCUGAGAGGGUUACCGUCCACAUUGGGACUGAGAUACGGCCCAGACUCCUACGGGAGGCAGCAUUGGUGAAGAUUGCACAAUGGGCGCAAGCCUGAUGCAGCCAUGCCGCGUGUAUGAAGAAGGCCUUCGGGUUGUAAAGUACUUUCAGCGAGGAGGCGUUACUCGCAGAAGAAGCACCGGCUAACUCCGUGCCAGCAGCCGCGGUAAUAC
rnacentral:rRNA from 1 species